rnacentral:lncRNA from 1 species
UGGAGUCCUCUGUUCUCUGGACCUCUUUUUUCCCAGAGCCUACUCCUGCAAGGAUUCUUAGGAAUAUAGCUCAACUGAGAGUGAAGGAGACGGUGCUUGGCGGCCCUGCCUGCCUCUUGGGGAAAGACCGUUCCUGUGCUGAGGGAGCUCGUAAUGUCCCCCCAUCAUCCUGUACGUGCAGGAGAACCGUGUCCUGCUUAUACAUGAAGCCGGAGGAAGCUUUGCUCUGCUGCAGAGAGC